GACGAACGCUGGCGGCGUGCUUAACACAUGCAAGUCGAGCGGUAAGGCCCUUUCGGGGGUACGACGAGCGGCGAACGGGUGAGUAACACGUGGGUGACCUGCCUCUAGCUCUGGGAUAAGCCUGGGAAGCUGGGUCUAAUACCGGAUAUGACCUCGCGGUGCAUGUUGCGGGGUGGAAAGCCUUGUGCGGCUAGGGAUGGGCCCGCGGCCUAUCAGCUUGUUGGUGGGGUGAUGGCCUACCAAGGCGACGACGGGUAGCCGGCCUGAGAGGGCGACCGGCCACACUGGGACUGAGACACGGCCCAGACUCCUACGGGAGGCAGCAGUGGGGAAUCUUGCGCAAUGGGCGAAAGCCUGACGCAGCGACGCCGCGUGAGGGAUGACGGCCU
rnacentral:rRNA from 1 species